AACGAACGCUGGCGGCAUGCUUAACACAUGCAAGUCGAGCGGAGAGAAGUAGCUUGCUACUGAUCUUAGCGGCGGACGGGUGAGUAAUGCUUAGGAAUCUGCCUAUUAGUGGGGGACAACAUUCCGAAAGGGAUGCUAAUACCGCAUACGCCCUACGGGGGAAAGCAGGGGAUCUUCGGACCUUGCGCUAAUAGAUGAGCCUAAGUCGGAUUAGCUAGUUGGUGGGGUAAAGGCCUACCAAGGCGACGAUCUGUAGCGGGUCUGAGAGGAUGAACCGCCACACUGAGACUGAGACACGGCCCAGACUCCUACGGGAGGCAGCAGCGGGGAAUAUUGGACAAUGGGCGGAAGCCUGAUCCAGCCAUGCCGCGUGUGUGAAGAAGGCCUUUUGGUUGUAAAGCACUUUAAGCGAGGAGGAGGCUCUUAAGGUUAAUACCCUUGAUGAGUGGACGUUACUCGCAGAAUAAGCACCGGCUAACUCUGUGCCAGCCGCCGCCGUAAAAC
rnacentral:rRNA from 1 species